GCGCCCUUGGUGUAGCAUUAACACACAUCCCGUUUGUUAUUUGAUAGGAACAAAUUUUACAGAUGAGUUUGGGGUUCGACUCCCCGAGGGUGCA